AGUGAACGCUGGCGGUAGGCCUAACACAUGCAAGUCGAACGGCAGCACAGUAAGAGCUUGCUCUUACGGGUGGCGAGUGGCGGACGGGUGAGGAAUACAUCGGAAUCUACUUUUUCGUGGGGGAUAACGUAGGGAAACUUACGCUAAUACCGCAUACGACCUACGGUUGAAAGCAGUGGAUCUUCGGACCUUGCGCGAUUGAAUGAGCCGAUGUCGGAUUAGCUAGUUGGCGGGGUAAAGGCCCACCAAGGCGACGAUCCGUAGCUGGUCUGAGAGGAUGAUCAGCCACACUGGAACUGAGACACGGUCCAGACUCCUACGGGAGGCAGCAGUGGGGAAUAGUGGACAAUGGGCGCAAGCCUGAUCCAGCCAUACCGCGUGGGUGAAGAAGGCCUUCGGGUUGUAAAGCCCUUUUGUUGGGAAAGAAAAGCAGCAGGUUAAUACCCCGCUGUUCUGACGGUAACCAAAGAAUAAGCACCGGCUAACUUCGUG
rnacentral:rRNA from 1 species